rnacentral:rRNA from 1 species
UGGGGAAUAUUGGACAAUGGGCGAAAGCCUGAUCCAGCCAUGCCGCGUGAGUGACGAAGGCCUUAGGGUUGUAAAACUCUUUCGUCGGGGACGAUAAUGACGGUACCCGAAGAAGAAGCUCCGGCUAACUUCGUGCCAGCAGCCGCGGUAAUACGAAGGGAGCUAGCGUUGUUCGGAAUCACUGGGCGUAAAGCGCACGUAGGCGGCAAUUCAAGUCAUCUGUGAAAUCUCCGGGCUUAACUCGGAACGGUCAGAUGAUACUGCUUUGCUAGAGUGCAGAAGGGGCAAUCGGAAUUCUUGGUGUAGCGGUGAAAUGCGUAGAUAUCAAGAGGAACACCUGAGGUGAAGACGGGUUGCUGGGCUGACACUGACGCUGAGGCGCGAAAGCCAGGGGAGCAAACGGGAUUAGAUACCCGCGUAGUCCCUGAGCGGGCUGGCAAGGCGCAU